GGAAUUUUGGACAAUGGGCGCAAGCCUGAUCCAGCAAUGCCGCGUGAGUGAAGAAGGCCUUCGGGUUGUAAAGCUCUUUUGUCAGGGAAGAAACGGUGGACUCUAAUACAGAUCACUAAUGACGGUACCUGAAGAAUAAGCACCGGCUAACUACGUGCCAGCAGCCGCGGUAAUACGUAGGGUGCAAGCGUUAAUCGGAAUUACUGGGCGUAAAGCGUGCGCAGGCGGUUGUGCAAGACAGAUGUGAAAUCCCCGGGCUCAACCUGGGAAUUGCAUUUGUGACUGCACGGCUAGAGUGUGUCAGAGGGGGGUAGAAUUCCACGUGUAGCAGUGAAAUGCGUAGAGAUGUGGAGGAAUACCGAUGGCGAAGGCAGCCCCCUGGGAUAACACUGACGCUCAUGCACGAAAGCGUGGGGAGCAAACAGGAUUAGAUACCCGUG
rnacentral:rRNA from 1 species